rnacentral:rRNA from 1 species
GACGGAGGAUGCAAGCGUUAUCCGGAAUUAUUGGGCGUAAAGCGUCCGCAGGUGGCUGUUCAAGUCUGCUGUCAAAGCGCAGAGCUUAACUCUGUACAGGCGGUGGAAACUGAAGAGCUGGAGUAUGGUAGGGGUAGAGGGAAUUCCCGGUGUAGCGGUGAAAUGCGUAGAUAUCGGGAAGAACACCAGUGGCGAAAGCGCUCUACUGGGCCAUAACUGACACUGAGGGACGAAAGCUAGGGGAGCGAAAGGG